GUCUGACUCCCACAGGAUUGGGCUCCCAGCCAAUUCGGGAUCCUGCCAGAGACAGGCUACCCAAGCCCCCUUCCCAAGCCAGGCAGGCAGGCAGCAGCACUGCCACCUCCUCGCAGCAAUGAAGGCCAAGGGACCAAUCCUGGCCAAACACCCCUUUCCCAAAGCCUAGAUUCACUCUUAAAAGUCCCGAAAUUUAAGACAACUGGUGAAAGUACUUGUGAAAUGAUGUCUAUACAGCAUGUGUUUAGAUGGCAGAAUGGUCCUAGCAAACAUCUUAAAUGUAUAAUGCUGCUGGGGCUGUCAUUCAUCGAGGCACUGUGAAUACAUUACUUUAAGCAGUAUAGGGCAGAUCCAGUUUGGUUUUAGAAGUGCCUAUAUUAAAGUAUCCCAGAACCUAAAAUCUGUGGUUCAGGUCAAAAUCUACCUAAACAACAUGCAAGUUGUGCUUAUGUGGAUGUUAAGUGUUUAAAUCAGUGAUUUUCAACCUUUUUUUUCAUUUGCAGACCCCUACAACAUUUCUGCUGGAGGUGCAGACCCCUUUGGAAAUUUUGAAUGGUGCUACAGACCCCUUUGAAUGGUUGCUGAUGAAGAUAUUGAACAAAACUGGCUCCAGGACUGAUGCCUUCAGAUUCCUGAGGAAACAGGUGCUCCAAGAUCACAACAUCAGAUUUGAAACCAAACUCAUGGUAUAUCAAGAAGUUGUGAUCCCUGCCUUACUGUAUGGAGCUGAGAUGUGGACAACAUACAGAAGACACUUCAAGGUGCUGGAGAAGUACAAUUAACACUACCUGCAGAAGAUCCUUCAAAUCUAGUGGGAAGACAGAACCAAUAUUAGCAUCCUCUCACAGGUGGACACCAUGAGCACUGAAGUGAUGUUCAUCCAACAUCAACUUCUCUGGGCAGGUCAUGUAGUCUGGAUGUCCAAAUCCAGACUCCAGAAGCAAAUCUUAUUUUCCCAGCUUGGUAAAGGCAUAAGCUCAAGAGGAGGGCAGAGAAAGCACUUCAAGGAUGUCCUGAAAGCCAGCUUGAAAAAAUAGAACAUUAACAUCAACUCAUGGAAGACUAUCACACAGGACCACCCAAAAUGAAGGAAUAGUGUUCUGGACUUUGAAACCUUACAAUGACAGCAGGAGACAGAAAAGCAGGAGUGGCAGAAUCCAGCGUGUCACGGACUGAUCCAAAAAUCCCACAUGCCCAAAUUUGCAAUAGAAACUGUCGAUCCCAGAUUGGCCUUGUCAGCCACCUUCCAACCCACAAAGGAGGCAUUACUGGAAAACAAUCAGCCUUGACUGUGAGGGACUGCCAGUGAUGAUGAUGAUGAAAAGUGUCUCUAGCUACCUUGACUACCAAGCCUUCAGCUAGCUACCAUGAGUGCCAGUAGUGAUCAAGUCACAGAAACAUAGAAUCCAGUGUGGAUUAAUUUACUUUGCUUCUCAGGUGGGUUCUGUAGCGAUUUGGAUUUUUGUGCCACUAUAGCUAUACUACUGUGCAUCCCUGAGCUGGUUAGUUUAAAGCCUAUACUGAAAUUACUGUUGUGACCAAAUCUUAGGAGAACAUACUGACCACCAUACUGUUCGGUAUCUUAGAUGUGGACAUUGCAGCUUCAUCCUUCAUUGCCUUUUGCAUAAGGCAAAAUCCAGCAGUAGUGUUUCAAGAACAUCUACCAUAUUGUGCCCUGCAGGAGAAAUAGAGAUUGGAAUACCCAGUUGGGGUGAGUCAUGGAGCAGGAUACUAUGUAGCUCCAUUGUGAUUUUAUAAAUAGCCACUGGCAGAAACUUCAGACACACAUAGAGUAAGCAGGGGUUUUGAGGAUCUCAGUCAUAACUAAACACUACGUGUCAGCACCUAAAUCCCUUUUCAAAUCUAGCUCUUUGACAUCAAUUUCCUAUUAAGAGAACUGGGCACCCAUAUUUCCUGGACAGUUCAAACAUCUUCUGCCACCAGAAGCAGAAGGGCUUAGGGUAAACAGUGGGACCGAUUCUUUGGAAGCAGUCUUUUUGGAUAAUCCAAAACACAGGUUAGGGAUCCAGAUGCAGAAUCUUUAAUGAUGCUCAGAAAAUAAUAAAUAUUUUUAUGGCAAAGGGUGACAUGUUCUUAUAGAUAUAUAUAUAUUUUAUACUGGUGCUACAAAGAGAGAAUAUACAAGCUAUCAGGCUGGCAUUUGUUUCUAGAGAAAGGUAUACUUUACUUUUCAGGUUUGAAAAUUAUUUGAAUGAAGGACAGCCUUUCCCACUGAUAUUUCAAAGCAGUCUAACAAUGCAAAGCAUAGUCAGACCAGAUGGAAUUUGCUAUCCAGUGCAUGAUUUCCAACCUCCCUUGUGGGAUACAUUGGUAUAUACAUUUUUUUCAGUUGGGCUACAUAAACGCAUUUGGCAUAAUUUUUUCCCUAAUGACAAGACUAAAUUGAAGUGCAAAACCUAACAGAAAACAUAUUUUAGCAUCUGCAUCUGUUUUAAUGGAAGCCAAAUAGAAUCAUUUCUAAUUAUGUCAUCUUUCUCAAGAAUCAUUGCUAUUCAAACUCUGGGGAUCCCUGAAAGCCCUUUUACUCAAUGUCAAUAUACUUGAUAGAAGUUAAAAAAAUAAGCGUCUGAUUAGUCAGUCCUCUUGUAUGGUAGCUGGUGAACAAUUUAAAAUUCUCACAUGUCAUUUUACCAGUUUUGGAGCCUUUUAAAAAGAAAACAUUGUGAAAGCAAUAGAAUUUGAUUCAGUUAAAGAUGGAAGCUCAAUUGUCAGCAAUAGGCUAGAUAGUAAACCUUUAGACAGUAAUUGCGUAUAUGACUAACAUUUAUGGCAAAAUUACUGUUUGUCCUGCAACUCAGCCAGAUGAGACAGAGAUCAGUGGAUUACAUUUAGUAUUAAUUCAUUCUUUUUGUAAAAAAUCCAUCAUUUGUAUAAAAUCUUUACCUUAAGGCAUUUUUUAAGUACAGAAGAUAUUAGAGGAAAUGUGUAUAGAUUAGUAGGUGAAUCUUAAUUAUUUUAUACGCCUAAAUUAAAGUAAUAUAAAUCACAUAAACAAGUGAGCUUUUUAAGUGCCCUUUUAUUCCUGGAAUUCCAUUGUUCAGUGUACAUUUUGCCUAAAUUGUAUACUUCAGCCCAACAUUUAGACAUGCAGUUGAACACUUGGCAUGCAAAACAAAUGCACCUAAGGUCUUAUGGGCCUUACAAGAGUUUAAAUUGUACUCACAUCUCCAACGGGUUCUUGAAAUUUUGCUACUUUGUACAUUUAAAGUUAGAUCCAGUAAAAGACUAGAGCGAAGUUAAAGGGCUUAAAUCAAGACUGCAAUCUCCAAACCCAUCACCUACCUGUUGCCUAACCUGGAAGUGUCUACAUUUCAUAGAUGCCGCUGACAUUAAAGUUCUCAUGGUGCAUAAAGUUCUUCCCAUGUACACACCAUCUGCCACUUAAGGCCAACCGCUGUGCCCCUGCCUUUAUCCCUUGAAAGACCCAAUCUGCUAGACAUUUACACAGUAUGUCUGUCACACCUUGACAGGGCUAUUCCCAUGAAAGAAUGCAGCUGUAGUCUGUGCUCCAAGCAUGGUUUCUAUAUUUUCCAGUGAUUACAUACAGGAACAGUAACCAGUAGGCUAUAGAUUCCCACAUUCCCCCACUUGCCAAAUGAAACAUGAUUUUCUUCUGGCAUGCUGGCACAGAUUAAAUUAGAGGGACAGAACAUGCCCAGCCCAUAAGAGCCAACAGCCUGAGGUUUGAUUAGGCACUUUCCUAGAAUCAUAUAAAAGUAGGGCUGGAAGGGACCUCAGGAUGUCUUCCUGACCAAGGCAAGAUUAUCUGCAUCUAAACCAUCCUAGACAAAUUAUUCUCUAACCCAGGGGACAGCCUUUUAGAGCAGCACGUACAACUACGAGGCAGAAUACCCAGAGCAUUGAAAACACCCUACGUUUCAACAGGUUAAGUAGGGGAACGAGGGCACUGUCAACAUUGUGCAAGUGCAAGGACAAGAAGUAGUUGUUAAAUUUCUCCUGGGUGGUAGGAAAUGUGGGUUUGUUCACUAUUCUGCUCUGGAAGGAUGGAACCUAGGUCCCUGACUCACUUGGUGAGUGCUCAAACCAAUAAACUAUUAUACAAAAUAUGUGCUCUUUCUCUGGCUGUGUUUAAAAACAGAAAGUCUUGCCCAGUUCUUUAAAAGAAUAAUUGUUGGCACCUACCCUCAAGAAAGGAUGUUGUAGCUUUCUCAUCUCCCUCCAAAUGAACCCUGUUUCCAUGGAAUGAAGUAAUUUCUGGUCUUCUCCUGACUAAAUCCUGUUGGCCUGAAGGAACCAAACAUACUGAGAUUUUAACAGAAGAGGAAAUGUUAUUGAUGGCUUCAAUAACACUAGAUCUAUGUGAUCAGCAAAGGCCAGCGGGGAAUCACUGACUUGAGUUACAAAAUCACCUUUAUUUGCUGAAAUUAUUAUUAAUCCUUUAGAGAAUUUACCAUGACAAGAUUAGCAGACUUGCCCACAUUUACUUAUGCUUGCUCAGCACCAUCUGGUUUUGCUUUUGUGUUCCUGACAUUAUUUUAUCUCCUGACUGCCAGCGGAUGUCUUGACUCUGUCUCUGUAUUGCUUAAUGACCCUACUUUCUAUCUCCGGUUCAGAUAUCUGUCAUCACCCCUUGUUUACCCUGAAACUUUUGCCUUUCUUUCUCAACUGCCAACAAAGGAUUCCAAGUUCCUGGUCCCAAGGAGAUGGAGGCACCUGCCUGUGAUCUGAGUCAGCUUUGAGAAUGGUGCGAUCCUAGGCAUAACCAAGUGUGCAACAUUCCCCUAGAGGCUAGCUUAAAGUUUUUCCUUGCUCAGCGUGUGGAAGUUUGCACCCUACUCCGGCUGACUUUUCCCCAUGCACUUUACAAAGGAGCCUACAUGCCUAACACCAGAUUCUGCUCUGGGGUCUACACACUGCAGCACCUAACUUUUAGGCACCUAGUUGAUUUGUUAAAUGUAGGUCCCAGAUUCCAGUGUUGAAAACAGCGCUCAACAUGCUUAAGUAUGCACGAGAGUGCUCCUAUUGCAAUCAAUAUAAUUUAAUCACAUGGUUAGAUUCCUGGAGUUUUAGUCUAAAGUGUUGGUCACAUUUAUUCCUGUUGGAAGUCAUUGCAAUUGCGAUUAUAUCAAGGGUAGCUGGCUCAUGGAAAUGUAAAGGUGUGACUGUUCACAUGAAUGCAGGGAUGGAUGGUUUGGUUUCUGUUAUCAGUAUAACUACAGUUGUAAAUGCUUCAGAUGACAGAUACUUACAUUGUUUAGGGUCCUGAAUAGCCUUGUCAGCCCAUGGCUAGAAUGCAAAUUUCAUGGCUAGAAUGCUAAUAGUUUUCCAAUCAACUAGUUUAAAGCUAGCUCCACAUACGGGACCCCAAUCUAUAUGCACCCUAUGAAGACAGGGGUAUAGUCCAGAGUAAUCCUAGGGUCCUAUUUUUGUUGUAACCAUUGCAGUCUCUACUGGACAGGCUGCCUCCUCCAUUGCAUUGCAGUCAAGCCAAGUCAGUCCCAAGGCCAUUAGAAUCAUUGGGACACCAUAGAUGCUGUGCAUUUUUGGUGAUUCUUCAGGCAAAAUGACCUGGUGGCACCCAUCUCCAGGUAUGGAUGGCCAUUUGCUCACAGGGAGCUCAUCUACCCUUUGAACAGUCUUGUUUUCAGUCUUGCUGGGUGUCCACUUAUCCUUCUCACCCAGGCUAGCCCAGGUUGGGGUGGCAGACUAGUUGCUGACAACCUGACCAUGGAACAGAUUGUACUGGUUUACAUGGUACCAGGGCCAGUCCAAGGGUAAUUGGCACCUUAGGUGAACUGUGUAUCUUGGUGCCCCCACCAUUUCCAAUAUAAAGGAAAAUAAAAAAGUAUAGAAUGAACUUUUACAUGUACUUAUUUGAUAUUCAAAAUGAACACUAUAACAAUAAAAAACAUUUUUUUUUAA